UACGGAGGGUGCAAGCGUUAAUCGGAAUUACUGGGCGUAAAGCGCACGCAGGUGGCUGAGUCAGUCGAUUGUGAAAGCCCUGGGCUUAACCUGGGAAUUGCAGUCGAUACUACUCAGCUAGAGUAUGGGAGAGGGUAGUGGAAUUCCCGGUGUAGCGGUGAAAUGCGUAGAGUAUCGGAAGGAACACCAGUGGCGAAAAGCGG
rnacentral:rRNA from 1 species